rnacentral:rRNA from 1 species
AUUGAACGCUGGCGGCGUGCUUAACACAUGCAAGUCGAUCGGUAACGCGGGGGCAACCCUGGCGACGAGAGGCGGACGGGUGAGGAACGCUUGGGAAUCUGCCCAUCAGCGGGGGACAACCCGGGGAAACCCGGGCUAAUACCGCAUACGCUCUAUGGAGGAAAGCCGGGGACCGCAAGGCCUGGCACUGAUGGAUGAGCCCAAGUCGGAUUAGCUAGUUGGCGGGGUAACGGCCCACCAAGGCGACGAUCCGUAGCUGGUCUGAGAGGACGAUCAGCCACACUGGGACUGAGACACGGCCCAGACUCCUACGGGAGGCAGCAGUGGGGAAUAUUGGACAAUGGGGGAAACCCUGAUCCAGCGACGCCGCGUGGGUGAAGAAGGCCUGCGGGUUGUAAAGCCCUUUCGGUAGGGACGAAAACUCUCGA